UCUCUGUCUCUCUCUCUCAUUCUUGGGUAACAACUAUCUGCAGAGUCAUGGGAAUCUUUUCCACAGCUUUUAAACCUAGGCAGUCUUGUAAGGCUGGAACAAAGGGGAUCAUCUUAAAAGAACACAUUCCUAAAGCUUUCUCAGCAAAUAAGCCAGCGAUAGAAGUUUAACAUGGAGGCACAGGCUCUAGGUGCCAUACUCAUCAAUCCCCUACAAAGAGAGCAAAGAGUAAAGAAAAACUCAAGGAAAGAAGCAUUUAAUUAUGUUUUUCACCUUUUAUUUAAGGAAACAAAAACAUAUUGAAGAACAUUCCCCAAAUACUGAGGAUUAGUUAAAUAUCAUAAAGUCAGCCUUGGCAUUAAUGGCAGUCAACAUAAGAAUGAGAACUCUAAAGACAGAAAGCAAGCGCAAGUGAAAGAAACCUCUAUUUGAGAAUUAUACGAAGUAGAUGCUGCCCUCUACAUUUGUAUGAAAAAAUAAAUUUUAUAUCUAUUACAAUGAUUUUCUCAUGGAACAAAACUUAUUUAAUCAAAUAAUCUUUUCAUUGUGAUCAUAGCUCUCCCUUUUUUAUAUGUCCAUUUACAUAUUAAUAAAUUUUCAUAUACUUAGUAGUAACUAUAACACUUUAAUUUCCAAAAAUUAGAACAGGUUCACCAUCUAUAGCAGUUAUAUAGGAUUCAUUUAAAGAGACACAAUUGUAAAUCACUAUGACCUUUCUUCAAAUAAAUGGACAACAAAUGUACUCUAAUUUACUUGAAAGCAUGUUAGCUCUUCAGUACUUAGUUUUAUAUCUGCUAGCUGUCCUAUUAUGUGAUAAGCAUUUCUUGGAAAUGAACUUUUUCAUCUUAAAAUAAAAUCACAGUCCAAGUUUUUUAGAUUUGUUUAUAACUGGCUUAUUUAUUGUGCAUAUUUCUAUGUUUCUAAGUUGAGCUAGAAUAGAUCUGUGGAGAGCUAUUUUUAAAACAUUCUUUAAGCAAUAUAUUUGUUAAACUUGUGAAAAUUUUUUACUGUGUUGUAAAUAUAAUUAUGUACUUGAAAGGUAGAAUAUAUUUUUAAUCUGUAUGCUUUUCCCAUUGAAAAAUAGUUAUACCAGAGGUAUUAUCCUGAUCUGUCAUAAAUGGGUACAAUCAAUAUCAAAAUGCAGGAGUCCAAAUGUUUUUGUAGAUGGUUUAAACUUCCUUUAUUUACUUUCCCAGAUCAGCUUGAUGACAUUUAGCCAGGAAUGGAACAGGAGAUGAGAAAUUUGUUAACAGUGAAAUUUAUAAUAGAACAAAGGAACUGUGGUGAAGAGAUGUCCCUUGAGGCAUUUUUUUCCAAUUCCCCAAAUGUCAAAACUUUCUGCAAACAAACUGCAUAUCUACUUACUUGUUUCAAAAUUAAAUAUGAAGACUUGAGCUCCUGUAGUACCUAAGCCAAUUAGCUUCUUUUUAUCUAGACCUUACUAAGUACUGGUCUCAGGUCCUUUUGCUCUCUUAGGUCAUACAUAUUAAGUUUAUUCUCAAAUCAAUUGAAAGAAAUAAAUGUGUCCCAACAGUUAUCAGCUUGUUGAUUACCCUAAGUCUCCAGCCUUAGGGUUUAUCAUAUCCCAUACUUCUACAUAUUAAAACAGGGGGCAUAGAUAAUGCUAUAUCUUUGUGAAUAGAAGUGUUUAAAGUUUAUAGAGUUGUUUUUAACAUAUCAUUUGUCUUAAGUUCAUCUACCAGAAUACAAAUCCCAUAAAAUAUG
rnacentral:lncRNA from 1 species